ACCCUACAGGGUAAGCCCAGAAGGGCAUUGAGGCAGAGCCCCAACCCCAUUCCCAGCCCCAAGGCAGCUCUCAGAGUGCCAGGUGGGUGAUAGGGUUUGUGGGUUUCCUUUAUGGUAGCCUAAAGCUGUGUCCUCCCACAGAGGCCUGCUGAACAGGGGAAAUGCUGCUAGUGCCACUGGAGACUUGACUUUAGUUUUGCUAAACACUAGUUUUAAUUGUAAAAUGCACAUAAAGCUUACCAUCUUAGUCAUUCUUCAGUGUACAGUUCAGAUGUAAUAACCACAUGUUGUGUGAGCCAGUCUCUUGUCAUCUUGCAAAACUGAAAUUCCUCAACCAUAAAACCACUCCCCAAUUCCUCCCCCUCUCCUACCCCAGCAGCCACCAUUCUACUUUGCUUAUAUGAAUUUGACUAUUCUGGGUCCUGCAAGUGGAAACAAGUAUUAUUUGCCGUUCUGGGACUGGCUUAUUUCUCCUAGCAUAACACACAGGUUUAUGCAUGGGUUAGCCUGUGUCAGAAUUUCCUUCCUUUCUAAGACUGAAUGAUAUUCCAUUGGUAGAGUCAGAUUAAAAAAAUUUUUUUUUACAGGCAGAGUGGACAGUGAGAGAGAGAGAGAAAGGUCUUCCUUUUCCGUUGGUUCACCCUCCAAAUGGCCGUUGCGGCCGGCGCACCAUGCUGAUCUGAAGCCAGGAGCCAGGUGCUUCUCCUGGUCUCCCAUGCGGGUGCAGGGUCCAAGCACUUGGGCCAUCCUCCACUGCACUCCCAGGCCACAGCAGAGAGCUGGACAGGAAGAGGAGCAAUCGGGACAGAAUCCGGCACCCCGACUGGGACUAGAACCUGGGGUGCCGGUGCCGCAGGUGGAGGAUUUGCCUAUUGAGCCGCGGCGCCGGCCAUUAAUUUUUUUUUUUUUUUUUUUUAGUUUGAAAGCCAGAGCAAGAGAGAGCAGAUAGAUAUAGAAAUAUUCUACCCAUUGGUUCUCCUCCCCACAAUGGCUGCAACAACACCCAGGGCUGGGCCAAACCAACGCCAGGAGCCAGGAGUUUCAUCCAUGGGGGUGCUGAGGCCCAAGUACUUGGGCCAUCUUCCACUGCUUUCCUAGGCACACCAGCAGAGAACUGGAUAGGAAGUGGAGCUGCCAGGACUCAAAGCAGUGCUCACUUGCAAUGCUGGCGUUUGCAGGUGGUGGCUUAAUCCACUGUACCCUGUGGCUGGCCCCAGAAGCCUGGAACUUAAUCUGGGUCUCCUACAUGGCUGGUAGGCAUCCAAGUAACUGAGCCAUCACUUGCUUCUGUCUACGUUACUCACCAGCAGGAAGCUGUUAUGGGAAGCAGAGCUGGGACUAACAUGCAAGCAUUCCAAUAUGUCUUGUAACGUGUCAGAACUUGGGGAUAUGAGCAUACUGCUGCACCAAACCUCCACCCUAAUAACUUUAAUUAAUUAAUUAAUUACAUGCAGAAUACAUGAAUAGAGUAUUCAGUAUAUACUGAAUCAUAUACAAAUAUUAAAAUAACUUUGCCUAUUUCUUCUUUUUUUGUAAUUGUGGCUACUAGAAUAUUUUUAAUCAUGUGGAAAGUGUGUAUAUGAAAAAGCUGUGCAUCAAUUUUUUUACUUAUUUAAAGAUUUAUUUACUUAUUUAAAAGGCAGAGGUACAGAGAGGGAGAAACAGAGGCAGAGAGGGAAUGAGAGAGAGGGAGAAACUUCCAUUUGCUGGUUCACUUCCUAAAUGGCCACAACAGCCAGGGCUCUGCCAGGUUGAAGCCAGGAGUUUCCUCUGGGUCUCCCAUAUGGGUGCAGGGGCCCAAACACUCAGGCCAUCUCCUACGGCUUUCCCAGGCUCAUUAGCAGGGAGCUGGAUCAGAAGAGCAGCCUGGACUUGAACUGGCAGCCAUAUGGGAAUCUGGCACUGCAGGUGGCAACUUUACCACAGCACUGGCCCCACUAUGCAUGUUGCAUGGAUUUAAAAACUUAUUCUGCACAAAAAUAAACUUCCCUUUUACAUUCUGUUUUCCAUUAACUUUUUGAGGCAGCCCCCUCCCUCUCCUACCACAUAAUGAAAACCUGAUUGCAAAAACUCCUUCUCUCUACGUUGCAAUUUUUGUAUGUCAAAUAAACCUUCAUGCUUGCUUCUGCCUUUAGCAUUCAUGACCAUUUUUCAUUAUGAAAGGAUUUCCUGAAUGGAAACAUCUGUCCCCUGUUACUGUGAAAGGCUGGGCUGUCCUAUGGUGACUUGUUUGCUGUUUGGGCUUGGGUAUUUUGUUUUCUGUCUUGUUAAUGUGUUAGCUUGGUGGCUUCCCUUACCGUGUUAAUUGCUGUGCCUGGGGAAGGCAGAGGGCUGCCUGACAACAAGGAGGGCUCAGGAGAUGUGUUAAUGUGCUUGCAGAAUCAAGAGAGAGAGAGAUCUUCCUUCCUUUGCUUUUGAUUUGACAAUGCUGCCUUGCACAACUUCUGUUUAGUGUGGUUCUUACAUUUUGAGAGAUUUUUUUCACUCUCAAAGCAGUCAGGAAUCCUGGGCUUACCUGGCUCAUGUGACAGUGUAACAGGCCUAGACCAGGUGUGAUUCCUUUCAGAAUCUGAUAGCUGCAUACCUUUUUCCUUCUUUCUUUUAGAUUUAUUUUAUUUAUUUGAAGGGUAGAGUUACUGGGAGAAAAAGUGGGAUCUUCCAUUUGCUGGUUCACUACCCAGAUGGCCUCAAUGCCCAGAGCUGGAAUGAUCUGCAGCCAGGAGCUUUGUCCCGGUCUCCCAUGUGGGUGAACUCAGGAGGGAAUUAAAAAACGUCAGGAAGGGCUCCUGGCUUCGGAUUGGCGCAGCUCCAACUGUUGUGGCCAUCUGGGGAGUGAGCCAGAGGAAGACUCUCUGUGCCUCAAAAAAAAAAAAAAAGUCAGGAGGGGGAAGAGGUAGAGGUAAGGUAAGGAGGAAGAUGUCUGUUGUGACUAUACUUCAGCAGCUCAUGCCAGUGGUGUUCGUGAUGCAAUAACUAUUCCCACUACUCUGGUCAACAGCAAAAAUCCGGCUUCUCCCUGGAGAGCAAGUUGUGCAGAAGCAUUUGUCUUCGUAAGGUUUUUAUUUUGGGAUAAUCUUAGAUCCACAGAACAUUUGCAGAUUGCACAGGGAGCUUCUUUACCACGUUUAUCUAACCCUAUAGUUAGAUAACCACGGCACAUUUAUUUCCCCCAAAUAUAAUAUUAUUCAAGCACAUUUAUUAAAACUAAGAAACUGGUAUAUUAAGACUGUAGCUUAUCUGAUUUCACCAAUUUCUCCAGCAAUGUCUUUUUUUUUUCCAGCAAUGUCCUUCGGCUGUUCUUGAACACAAUCCAGAAUCACAUUUAGCAAAUGAGUAUUUUAUAUACUACGAUCUUGAUCGCUUACCACUAUCAUUAGAAAGAUUAGGCAUCCAGGCUUUGAGAUCUUUCAGUGUGCACGAGGUAUGUCUAACUCACGUAUAUAAGUGUAUUCUUACAGGCAAUGCCCGUCAGGGGCAGUCAGGGUGGUGGAAUGGGUGACUUCCGGGAAUGGAUGUAUUCCUCGCUCCACCAGUUAGUUAUUACUGAGUUGUGAGUUUCGCGCUGAAGGAGCCCUCGCUCCCCGGGGAACCAUGCGGCCUCAGGAGACUAGUUCUAGCCGGCUGUGACAGCAUCUGGGGUUGUGGCUGGCGAUGUGGGGGAAGGCGCCAACCGAUCUGGCUCGGUGCUGUCAGAAAACAAGGGCAAUUCGGGGAUUAUCUUGGCGAUUUUUAGGUAGAAGGCAGAAGCCCCGGAGCAGGGCUAGCAAAGCCGGAGCCGUCCGUCACCGUGGUGUUUCCUUAUCUGAGGCGAACCGGUGCUUGCCUUUCACCACUCGGACUCCGUUACGGAGCGGCCUUAUUUUGUUCUCCUUCCGAAACACCCUCGCCUGACCGCCCACAUCCUGCGAAAUCGUUUACGUCUAGCAUGGCGCCUGCAGCCCGCCUUUUUCUGAGCCACGUUCAGAAGAGAAACAGCGCGGCCUCGCGCAGACGCCGGGCGCCACCCGGGGCACGCACGCGGACCCGAGGGCUCCGGCAGGCUCGUCGGGCGCGGCCGCGCGGGCCCUCGGCCUCCCCGCGCUCGCCCGCCGCAGGGAGCGGCUCCCGUCGUCUCCCCUCGGGCGGCUCCAGCGCUCCCUCAGCGCCGCCUCGCCCUUCAGCGGGCUCGCGCAUGCGCCGCCGCAGCCCGCCCCGCGGCGCGCGCGUCACAAUGGCGCCGGGGUGGAGGCCGAACCGCGCGCCGUGUCUUCCUGAGGAAAGCGGGCCCCGGAGGGCGGCCGUUCAUUCGGUGGGCGCUGCCACCGCUGGCUGCAGAGCGGGCCCGUGGGGCCGAGCACGCCGGGAGCCGGAAGUCCCCUGACUGACGGGCGGGCGCGCGCCUGCCACCGCCCCUCGGAGGCCCCGCCCAGGGCGCGCCGCCGCGGUUCCCAUGGUAACGGUAAACAAGCGGCUCUAGCUCACUGACCGCCGCUGGAGUGCCCAGUGUAGCGGCCUCCUCUAGGUGAGAGGGUUAAUCUGGUCUGUGAAACAGCCCAUCCUGGUCCAGAGUGGAAAACUGAAGGAGGGGGCACCAGGCGCUCAUUUUGUCUUCUGCUGAGAAUCUGACCAGAAGUUUCCCUCAGACAGCUCUGACCCCCCACAGAGAAGCCUGCGUGCAUGGAAGCGUCCCAGUCCACAGAGUCAGAACGGAUUGGACUUUGAAGCACAGUGACGCGUAGUCAAAACAGCUCAGUUUUGAAGCUCAGCUCAUGAUACAGGAAAAUUCCAUUGGCUUAAUUCCGACAUCGCAUAGGUAGCAGUGAGCGCUGUUAUUAUGGAAGCGGAAGCGGAGCUUGUGAAAUCAGUGUAUAUUUUUAAAAAUUCCUUUCAGUACUUUGUGAGGCCUCAAAAUGCCUCUUGCCUCUUGAGUUUAUUUUUAUUAUGGUAGUGUACCCAGAGUUAUAUAUGUAUCUUGAAGCAAUUUCAGUUAGGUGACAUUUUAUAUCAUGCUGCACGGAGCACAUUGGAGAGGUAUGCUUUUUUGAAAAAUUCAAUUAAAGGUGUUAGAGCUAUAAUUUUUAAAAUAUUUGAUGAUUUUCAUUCUAAUUUAUUUUUAAAGAUUUAUUUAUUUAUUUGAGAGGCAGAGUUACAGAGAGGCAGAGAGAGAGAGAGGUCUUCUAUCUGCUGGUUCACUCCCCAGAUGGCCACACAGCUGGAGCUGUGCUGAUCUGAAGCCAGGAGCCAGGAGCUUCUUCCCAGUCUCCCAUGGGGGUGCAGGGCCCCAUGGACUUGGGCCAUCUUGUACUGCUUUCCCAGGCCAUAGCAGAGAGCUAUAUAGGAAGUGGAGCAGCUGAGACUCGAACCGGCGCCCAUAUGGGAUGUUGGCACUGCAGGCGGCAGCUUUACCCACUGCGCCACAGCUCCGGCCCCAAUAUAUAUGUGACAAUUUAUAUCAUGUUGUACUGAGCACAUUGGAGAGCUGUGCUUUUUUUUUUUUUUAUUAAUUCAGUUAAAGAUGUUAGAGCUAUAAUUUUAAAAAUACUUUAUUAUUUUCAUUCUUCAUUAAAGAAUUCAUUCAUUUAUUUUAUUAUUUAAGAGAUCUUGUGUUUGCUGGUUCACUCCUGAAAUACUUGGGAGCGGGGUUCUGAGUCCAGGUGUCCCGUGUGGGCGGAAGCGCCCCAGCUCUGAGAGCCACCACCGCUGCCUCUCGGGAUGUGCAUUUGCAGAAAGCCGGACUCAGAACCUGAACGCAGUGCUUUGAUAUGGUUGUGGUGUCUCACACAGUGUUUUACCUUCUGUGCUGCAUGCCUGCUCCCAUUUCCACCUGGCUCAUUCUAUUUAUAUGAAAGGAAGAGAAAGGAGAGAAAUCUCCUGUCUGCUGGUUCAUUCCCCCAAUGCCCAACAGCAGCCAGGGCUGAGCCAGGGAGUUGCACGCACAGUCCGGUGUCCCGUGUGGGAGAGACCUGAGUACUAAGGCCAGCACCUGCUGCCUUCCAGGGUGCAUGUUAGCAGAAAGCUAAAGCCGGCAGUGGAGCUGAGAUUUGAACUCAGGCACUCUGAUACGGAGUGCGAAUGUCCCAUGUGGGCUCCUAACUGCUAGACUAAAUGAUUGCUUUCUUUAUUUGAAAGAGUUACAGAGAGAAAGGGAGAGCAAGCGCCCAAGCACUUGGGCCAUCUUCUGCUGCUUUUCCCAGGCCAUAAGAGGGAGCAGGAUCAGGAGUGGAGGGGCCGACGAUGUGGCAUAGGUGGGAUCUGCCUCAUACCCCAACCCCUGCAAUUCCAGUCUCCUUCCUGCCUUGCCAUCCAGCACCACCGACGGCCUGAGUGUUCCCAGAACUGACCGGUCAUGCUGGCGGCGAUGUCUUGUUACCAGCAUGCCUCGCUCCUUUCCCAUGUCUGCCCUACAUGCGACUUCCUCAGUGUUCUGCAUCACGGGCCCUGCUGCUGCAACCUGUGUCGUUCUUCCUCCCGUUAGCCUGCCUGCUGGGCCGCAUUACCACAGGACAUGCUGAUUAGCUGGUUACCGUCUUCCCGCUAAAAUGUACUCUCCAGAGUUACAGAGAAGGAGAGGCAGAAAGAGAAUCUUCCAUCUGCUGGUUCACUCCCCAAAUGGCUGCAAUGGCCAGGGCUGGGCUAGGCCAAAGCCAGGAGCCAGGAGCUUCUUCCAGGUCUCUCUCCAACGUGGGUGCAGGGACCCAAGGACUUGGGCCAUCUUCUGCUGCUUUCUCAGACCAUAAGCAAGGAGCUAGAUCAGAAGUGGAGCAGUUGGGACUGGAACCACUACCCAUUUGGGAUGCUGGCACUGCGGGUGGUGGAUUUAUCUGUAGCACCGGCCUCAACUCACAUAUUUUUAUUUUGACAGCAUUGCUAUGUCUGAAAGAAUGAAAGAGAAUCCGUGAAUUCAAGGAAGAAAUUUCACAGACAAAUGGUUCUGCUUAUGAUAAGCAGUUUAUUGAAUGCACGUUUGCAUUAUGUUUUACUCCAGUAUCCUAUUGCUAUUCUUUUUUUUUUUAAAUUUUUUUUAAUUUACUUAUUUAUUUGACAGAGUUAGUGAGAGAGACAGAGAGAAAGGUCUUCCUUCCAUUGGUUCACCCCCCCCCCCCCCCAAAUGGCCGCUACGGCCAGAGCUACGCCGAUCCGAAGCCAGGAACCAAGUGCUUCCUCCUGGUCUCCCACGUGGGUGCAGGGCCCAAGCACUUGGGCCAUCCUCCACUGCACUCCCGGGCCACAGCAGAGAGCUGGACUGGAAGAGGAGCAGCCGGGACUAGAACCUGGCACCCAUAUGGGAUGCCGGCACUACAGGUGGUGGCGUUACCCACUGUGCCCUAAUGGUAUUUCAACAGAUGUGUAGUGAUAAAUUAUGUUUCCCUCUCUGUUGUCACUCUGUGUUGCAACAGUCUGGCUUCUCUGUUUUUUCACAAAAUAUAUAUGAGGUUAUUGUGAACUAUGGUUCACCCACUGUGCUGUGGAAUAAAUACUACAACUAAUUCUGUCUGUUUAUCUGUAUUUUUGUCCCCAUUAUCCCUCUAUCCCCUUCCCUUCUCCUCAAGCUUUGAUAAUCUGUGUUCUACAUCCAGAUCGAUUUAAAAUUUUUAUUUAUUUGAAAGGCUGAGAGAGACAGAGAGAUGCCUUCCGUUUGCUUCACUCCCCACCUGGCUGCCACAGGGCUGGGCCAGGCUGAAGCCAGGAGCCAGGAACUCCAUCCAGUUUCUCCUGUCUCUACAGAGACCCAAGUGUUUAAGCCAUCACCUGCUGCCUCUCAAGGGGCGCUUUAGCUGGAAGCUGGAAUUAGGAGUGCAGCUGGGACUCGAACCCAGGCCCUAUUAAUACAGGAUUGAGGCUGGCGCCGUGGCUCAUUAGGCUAAUCCUCCGCCUUGCGGCGCCGGCACACCAGGUUCUAGUCCCGGUUGGGGCACCGGUUUCUGUCCCGGUUGCCCUCUUCCAGGCCAGCUCUCUGCUGUGUCCCGGGAAGGCAGUGGAGGAUGGCCCAAGUGCUUGGGCCCUGCACCCCAUGGGAGACCAGGAUAAGUACCUGGCUCCUGCCAUCGGAUCAGCACGGUGCGCCGGCCACAGCGCGCCAGCCACGGCGGCCAUUGGAGGGUGAACCAACAGCAAAGGAAGACCUUUUUCUUUGUCUCUCUCUCUCUCUCACUGUCCACUCUGCCUGUCAAAAAAAUAAAUAAAUUAAUUUAAAAAAAUACAGGAUUGAGGUCCCACAUGCACUGAAUGCCCAUCGCUCUCCUUUUUAGCUUCCACAUCCAAGGGAGAACAUGCAGUAUUUAUCUUUCUGAAUCUGACUUAUUUCCCUUAACAUGUCUUCCAGUUCCAUCCAUUUUGCUAAAAAUAAUAGGAUUUUACAUAUUUAAAACCUACUCUAUUUUGUAUAUAUGCCACAUUUUCUUUGUCCAUUCACCUGCUGGUGGCAAACCAGGUUGAUUGCCUACCUUGGCGGGUGUGAAUAGCACACCAAGUUACAUGGGUGGGUGUGCUGGUAUCUGCUGCUUCCUGUUUCCUUUGGAAGAGGGGUGGAGGGGUCCUAUGGUAGGUCUAUCUUUGGGUUUUUGAGGCCCCUACACAAUGUCCUCCCUACUGGCUGCACUAAUUCACAUUGCCACCCAUAGUGUAUCAGAGUUACUUUUUUUUUUAUUUAAUUAUUUAUUUGAAAGAGUUA